rnacentral:rRNA from 1 species
UAAUAGCGCACGCAGGCGGUCUGAUUAAGUCAUGAUGUGAAAUCCCCCGGGCUCAACCCUGGGAACUGCAUUUGAAACUCGCAGGCUUGAGUCUCGUAGAGGGGGGGUAGAAUUCCAGGUGUAGCGGUGAAAUGCGUAGAGAUCUGGAGGAAUACCGGUGGCGAAGGCGGCCCCCUGGACGAAGACUGACGCUCAGGUGCGAAAGCGUGGGGAGCAAACAGGAUUAUAUACCCUGGUAGUCCACGCCGUAAACGAUGUCGACUUGGAGGUUGUGCCCUUGAGGCGUGGCUUCCGGAGCUCACGCGUUAAGUCGACCGCCUGGGGAGUACGGCCGCAAGGUUAAAACUCAAAUGAAUUGACGGGGGCCCGCACAAGCGGUGGAGCAUGUGGUUUAAUUCGAUGCAACGCGAAGAACCUUACCUGGUCUUGACAUCCAGAGAAUCCUGCAGAGAUGCGGGAGUGCCUUCGGGAACUCUAAGACAGGUGCUGCAUGGCUGUCGUCAGCUCGUGUUGUGAAAUGUUGGGUUAAGUCCCGCAACGAGCGCAACCCUUAUCCUUUGUUGCCAGCGGUUCGGCCGGGAACUCAAAGGAGACUGCCGGUGAUAAACCGGAGGAAGGUGGGGAUGACGUCAAGUCAUCAUGGCCCUUACGACCAGGGCUACACACGUGCUACAAUGGCGCAUACAAAGAGAAGCGACCUCGCGAGAGCAAGCGGACCUCAUAAAGUGCGUCGUAGUCCGGAUUGGAGUCUGCAACUCGACUCCAUGAAGUCGGAAUCGCUAGUAAUCGUGGAUCAGAAUGCCACGGUGAAUACGUUCCCGGGCCUUGUACA